rnacentral:rRNA from 1 species
UGGGGAAUAUUGGACAAUGGGCGCAAGCCUGAUCCAGCAAUGCCGCGUGUGUGAAGAAGGCCUGCGGGUUGUAAAGCACUUUCAGUGGGGAGGAAGGCCUCGGUAUGAAUACUGCCGAGGAUUGACGUUACCCACAGAAGAAGCACCGGCUAACUCUGUGCCAGCAGCCGCGGUAAUACAGAGGGUGCAAGCGUUAAUCGGAAUUACUGGGCGUAAAGGGCGCGUAGGUGGUUUAUUAAGUUAGAUGUGAAAUACCUGGGCUUAACCUGGGAAUUGCAUUUAAAACUAAUUGGCUAGAGUGUGGGAGAGGGAAGUGGAAUUUCCGGUGUAGCGGUGAAAUGCGUAGAUAUCGGAAGGAACACCAGUGGCGAAGGCGACUUCCUGGCCCAUUACUGACACUGAGGCGCGAAAGCGUGGGGAGCGAACAGG